UACGUAGGGGGCGAGCGUUAUCCGGAUUUACUGGGCGUAAAGCGCGUUAAGGCGGUUGGCAAAGUUGGUUGUGGAAUCUCAGGGCUCAACCCUGAAAUUGCGACCAAUACUGGUCGACUAGAGUGUGAGAGAGGAAGGUGGAAUUCCCGGUGUAGUAGUGAAAUGCGUAGAGAUCAGGAGGAACACCCGUGGCGAAGGCGGCCCUCUGGCUCGACCCUGACGCUGAGACGCGAAAGCGUGGGGAGCGAACAGG
rnacentral:rRNA from 1 species